GCCCGAGUGGUGGAAUUGGUAGACACGCAAGACUUAAAAUCUUGUGAACAUUUGUUCGUGCGGGUUCAAGUCCCGCCUCGGGUACCA
rnacentral:tRNA from 1 species